rnacentral:rRNA from 1 species
GAUGAACGCUGGCGGCGUGCCUAAUACAUGCAAGUCGAGCGAACGGACGAGAAGCUUGCUUCUCUGAUGUUAGCGGCGGACGGGUGAGUAACACGUGGAUAACCUACCUAUAAGACUGGGAUAACUUCGGGAAACCGGAGCUAAUACCGGAUAAUAUUUUGAACCGCAUGGUUCAAAAGUGAAAGACGGUCUUGCUGUCACUUAUAGAUGGAUCCGCGCUGCAUUAGCUAGUUGGUAAGGUAACGGCUUACCAAGGCAACGAUGCAUAGCCGACCUGAGAGGGUGAUCGGCAACACUGGAACUGAGACACGGUCCAGACUCCUACGGGAGGCAGCAGUAGGGAAUCUUCCGCAAUGGGCGAAAGCCUGACGGAGCAACGCCGCGUGAGUGAUGAAGGUCUUCGGAUCGUAAAACUCUGUUAUUAGGGAAGAACAUAUGUGUAAGUAACUGUGCAAAUCUUGACGGUACCUAAUCAGAAAGCCACGGCUAACUACGUG